AGAGUUUGAUCCUGGCUCAGAAUGAACGCUGGCGGCGUGCAUAACACAUGCAAGUCGAACGAGAAAACCCCGGGGCUUGCUCGGGGGAGUAAAGUGGCGCACGGGUGAGUAGCGCGUGGGUAACCUACCCCUGAAUCUGGAAUAACUCGCCGAAAGGCGGACUAAUACCGGAUAUUGUCUUGGAGGCGCAUGUCUCUGAGAUGAAAGGUGACCUCUUCAUGAAAGUUGCCGUUCGGGGAGGGGCUCGCGUACCAUUAGCUUGUUGGUAGGGUAAUGGCCUACCAAGGCGACGAUGGUUAGCUGGUCUGAGAGGAUGAUCAGCCACACUGGAACUGGAACACGGUCCAGACUCCUACGGGAGGCAGCAGUGAGGAAUUUUGCGCAAUAGGGGAAACCCUGACGCAGCAACGCCGCGUGAGUGAAGAAGGCCUUCGGGUCGUAAAGCUCUGUCAGGUGGGAAAAACGCAGUCGGUGAAUAGCCGGGCUGAAUUGAUGGUACCACUAGAGGAAGCACCGGCUAACUCCGUGCCAGCCGCCGCGGUAAUA
rnacentral:rRNA from 1 species